rnacentral:lncRNA from 1 species
AUGUCCGAAGCUUCAUCGUGGGACCUCCGGGCCCCCCGGGGCCUCAGGGUCCGCCGGGAGAUGGCCGGCUACGGGAAGCGGACGGCUCCUACAGCCGGGGAAGCAGUAACUCCUACGGCUCUUCGACCAGCCGCAGUACUUCCUACAGCUCCUCGCUGGGAUUGGGAGGAGCCAACGGAGGAGCGUCCCUGGGUGGAGGGGGAGCCUACGGCGCAACUCUGGGAGAUGGUGGCCCCUACGGCACAGAUGUUGGUGGAGGCUACGGGACGGCAGCGGGAGAAGGGGGCAUGUAUGGCCCUGAGGGCAGAGCUUUCGGUGCAGGCUUCGCCGCGGACCUGGAUUACAGUGAACUGGCUGUUCGGGUGUCGGAGACCUUGCACCGUGAGUAAGAACCCCCUAGGCUCGGAGCCGGUCCCUUCCGCGCCUCCUUUGUCUUCGCUUUGGAGACGCCAGCCCGAGCCUGAAGACGGAGGCGGCUGUGGCCCCUGGCUUAACUGCCGGCUCCCCAGAGACAAAGCCGACCCAGAGUCCCCGCAGACUGAAUCCCUAGCCAUAGCUAAAAGGAGGGAGGUCAGGGUCUGCUCCAAGGCAUGGCUUACACCGUGCAAGGCCCGCCAGGCCAGCCUGGGCCCCAGGGUCCUCCUGGUGUCAGCAAGGUAUUCGCAACCUACAGCAACGUGACCGAGGACCUCAUGGACUUCUUCCGGACUUAUGGGACAAUUCCAGGACCAAAGGGAGACACAGGCUUUCCAGGACCCAGAG